AGGGAAGCCCAAUGACUUUACUUUUACUUUAUUCCAGGUUAAGGUCUCUACUGUAACAGUGUUCAUUACAAGGAACAUGUAGGACCAAGCUAAAGACUGAAGCAAGAGAUGGAGAUGUUGGCCAGGACUACAACAGCCAUCUUGUGACCAUGAGAAAAGCCAAGGACAUUUCAAAGACCUCUUCAUAUCCUUGUACCCUCUAAUUAACACCAGCAACUGCCUAUUUUUUGGACUUCUCGUUACAAUAAAAAAAUAAAACCUGAACUGUUUAAUAAAGCCACUGAUUUGGGGUCUCUGUUUCUCUUAGUCAAGUACAAUUAAUAAAAAAGGGUGACAAAGAACUAUGCACCAAUCCAGACUCUUCAAGAAUAUACAUUACAGUAAACAAUAUAAGAGUACAUAAAUUGCUAAAUUAUGAGAAAUCAUCAGGAAAUGCCACAGGAGUUCAGGGAAUAUGCUUCACAGAACAAAUCAAGAACUCAAAACAGGUGCUAAAAGGUCAUAAAUUUCUGUACUGAUAUAAAUUAGAUGAAAGUUGAGUUAUAGAAAUAUUUUAAAAGCCUAUGUGAUAGUGCUGAUCCACUAAAGCAGCUGUUUGAAUCUUGGUUCCCCCCCCUCCCUUUUCUAAAUAUAUCUAAAUAUAGACUCAAUAGUCGGCUUUCCACUUAGAAUAGUACCCAGAAAACGUUUGAUAUUAUCUUUAGAAGAAAGGAAGAAGUUUUUGUUAGAAGUUUAUCUCCAGGAAGGAAACACACUGAAGUUUCAAAAACAGCACCAGCUAUUUAAGGAAUAACUCCUGAUGUUCACAAGGAAGCCAUAAGUACUUGAGAUGUGUUUAAAUUAAAAAUGACAAUUUUAACUGGUUGGGGAACUUCCAGUGACAGUUCCAUCCCUCCUAUUCCUGCUGUCCAAAUAAUUUCCACCCUCUUUGUUGCUCUUUAGGGAAUAGUGUUGAGACUAUACAUUUGUUCUGGUUUUGUGCUUCCAUUUUAUUUCAUUUGUUAGAUACUUCCACCUUGGGAGAAUUCCCCACCCCUAAAUUUAUAGAGAUAUAACUCUAUAAAUAUACAUAAGUUGUAUUUAUACAAUAUAUACAUAUACAUAU